UACGGCUACUGGAUGCUGACACCUGCCCGGUACGCAGGUAACUACAGUGGGGCAGCUACUUCUCCAGACACUGAAAGACAGCAGAUGAUUGGAGUGACAUGGAGACGGGCCCGCGACUACCAGCGGAGCCGAGCUGAGCAGAGCUGAGCUGCAGAGCUGCUUUAGAGCCCUGCUGAGACCUGCCAGACCCACAGCUUUCCCUGCCAGGGGCCUCGGCUCGCAGUCAGAGCCUAUAUGUGACCAUAGCUAAUUGUGGAGUGAAUCGAAGGACCAAAAGGAUGGAUCGAGGCGUAUAUAAGAAGAUGCAAAGACACAUGGUUGUCCCUUUGAGUGAAGGCUGCUUAGAAGAAUGAAUAACUUCAUGAACGUAGAGUAUGCUGUGUAAAAUAAAUGAGUGGAGUAAGUGAUGGUUUUGUAAAAUGUUUGAUUCCUGGAUUAUGUACUCUAAUAAUGUGUAAUAUAUUCAAUAAAGAGUCUCUUCA